AGAAACUUAGGAUAACCUGCCCUUAAACCGAAGGCCUUCAAAGCCUUAAACAAGAGUUAAACUCUCUUAGUUUCUG
rnacentral:tRNA from 1 species